rnacentral:lncRNA from 1 species
CCAGAUAUUACUGGGCCAUGGUUGAUUUACAUCAGUCAAAGGUGACUUAGGAAACAAUUAAUUAGAGCCCUUAUAAUGAAAGAAUCUAAACCUAUUAAUUAAAGAGUGACUUGCAAGCUCUAUAAAAGAAAGGGUGGGAUCUACCAAAUUCUCUCUAUCCCUGUAAUUGAUAUACAGGUAAAAAAAAAGUUUGAGUUUGUAGAAGUACACGACAUUGAACCAUGGCCAACAACCACUCAAAAGCCAAUCCCAC